AACGAACGCUGGCGGCAGGCCUAACACAUGCAAGUCGAGCGAGGACUUCGGUUCUAGCGGCGGACGGGUGAGUAACGCGUGGGAAUGUGCCCUUCUCUACGGAAUAGCCCUGGGAAACUGGGAGUAAUACCGUAUACGCCCUAUUGGGGAAAGAUUUAUCGGAGAAGGAUCAGCCCGCGUUGGAUUAGGUAGUUGGUGGGGUAAUGGCCUACCAAGCCGACGAUCCAUAGCUGGUUAGAGAGGAUGAUCAGCCACACUGGGACUGAGACACGGCCCAGACUCCUACGGGAGGCAGCAGUGGGGAAUCUUAGACAAUGGGGGCAACCCUGAUCUAGCCAUGCCGCGUGAGUGAUGAAGGCCUUAGGGUUGUAAAGCUCUUUCAGCUGGGAAGAUAAUGGCGGUACCAGCAGAAGAAGCCCCGGCUAACUCCGUG
rnacentral:rRNA from 1 species